rnacentral:rRNA from 1 species
AUCGAACGCUGGCGGCAGGCCUAACACAUGCAAGUCGAGCGAGCGACGGACGGGUGAGUAAUGUUUGGGAACCUGCCGGAUGGAGAGGGAUAAGUACUGGAAACGGUAGCUAAUCCCGCACACAAUCAGAUGUGCCGAGAGGUGAUUAGCUGGUAGGUGGGGUAACGGCCCAGCUGGGCGACCAUCCCUAGCUGGUGUGAACGGAUGACCAGCCACACUGGAACUGAGACACGGUCCAGACUCCUACGGGAGGCAGCAGUGGGGAAUUGUGCACAAGGGGCGAAAGCCUGAUGGAGCAAUGCCGCGUGUGUGAAGAAGGUCUUCGGGUUGUAAAGUACUGUCGGCAGGGAGGCGGUACCCGCAGAAAAAGCACCGGCUAACUCCGUGCCAGAAGCCGCGGUAAUAC